CGACACCAAACCCUUAUUCUUCUUUCUCACAAGCUUCGGCGUGACCCUGGUCUCGAUCCGCCGCCGAGCUCCACCUCGUUCUCUCUCCUAGCUUAUCUUCUGCACCGCCUCUCUUCUCCUCCACUAUUCUCGCCUACCCUAGCACGCCUCUCUCUCUCUCUCUCCUCCACCGCCUCUCCUCUUCUCCACCCUCGCCGGACUCCUCCUCCACCGCCUCUCUCUCUCUCCUCCACCCUCACCAGACCUCUCAUCCACCCUUCAUCGCCUCUCUUUCUCUCUCCUUCACCCUCGCCAGACCUCUCAUCCACCCUCCACCGCCUCUCCAAUUUUAGGUUUCAGAUCUGUCAAUUCACCAUGUUUUCGCCGUAAUUGCUCCUAGAUUCCAGGUCCUAUCUGAUUCUAUGCUUCAUUUCAAAAGUAAAAUCCUCUUUCUGUUCUCAAUUCCGUUGUGCUCGGAGGAUUUAACUUCGAUUUGCUCAAUCUGCGCCGAUGAAUCUCUUAGUACUCAGAGUUGGAAAUGUAGCACCUUUCGUGGUUAAGUUUGAUUUGUGGAUGGAUCCAUUGUUGUUCGGGUCUGUGGAUUGAUCCAUUGUUGUUUGAAAUGUUUGUAGAUGGAUCUGGGGGUGGAGGGAGACGACAAGGACACACGAGGUGAAGGGAAGGCGCCGGCCUCGCCGGUGAUGAGAGCGUGGGCGACAUCAGCAUCAUAAUUUUGGAGGAAGAGAUGUUUUUUUAUUAACAAUAUUAAAAACUAAUUAACCAUAACAUUAAAGAUGUGGGUCAUACGACUUAUCUCCUAAUACAACUCUUCUUAAUACCCUUGCCGAAAAGAAAUGGGCCAUGAAUACUGGGACGGAGAGAGUAAUGGUUUGUAGCUUUGUUUAAACUCCCUAAUUAGUGGAUUAUUCAAAUUGGAUUUGGGAGAAAUUGUUUGUUCUGGAACGAUUCAGAAUCAAUCUUAAAUUCAUGUAUUUU
rnacentral:lncRNA from 1 species